rnacentral:rRNA from 1 species
UACAGAGGGUGCAAACGUUGUUCGGAAUUACUGGGCGUAAAGCGCGUGUAGGCGGCUUCGAAAGUCGGCUGUGAAAUCCCGCGGCUCAACCGUGGAAGUGCACUCGAUACUGCGAAGCUAGAGUCCUGGAGAGGAAGGUGGAAUGCUUGGUGUAGAGGUGAAAUUCGUAGAUAUCAAGCGGAACACCGGUGGCGAAGGCGGCCUUCUGGACAGUGACUGACGCUGAGACGCGAAAGCGUGGGGAGCAAACAGG